GCUGCGGAGUCAGCGGGUGCCGGAGGCCGGAGCGCGCCCCACUGGCGGCGGCCAGGAGCCCCGGCGCUGAGGAUGCUGCGGAGGGAGCCAGAUCUUUCCCUUGGUUCUCUUGAAGUAUUCCCUCCUGAAGCCUUCAGGGAUGUAAGCUGUUCAGUUGCAUAGAAGCCACCAUGCUAAGAGGAAGCCCAAGCUAACAAAUGGGGAGAGAUCACGUGAAGAGGCCCUGAGACAAUAAAAAAAGGGAUGUCAGGUCAGACCCCACUGCCUAACCACACCCCACCCCUGGUCAGAUGACUCCUUGGUGCAAGCCAAAGAUAAAUCUUAAGGGGCUCACGUCAACCAAGAAUUGCUCCUGUCCUCCUGGGGAGGCUUUGUUUGCCGGCCAAGUUAUGUGCUUAAAGUAAAAGAAAAGAAGAUGGAAGAAGGAAAAAAGAAAAGACAACAAACAUUAUCUAACCACAACCAGUGACCUUAUGGCAUGCAAGCAAAUAAUCUGAAAACUUUAGUAUAUACUUAUAUGCAGAAAGCAAUUGUGUUGGAUUUUUCUCACUUGCAGUUGAAAGAAGUCAAUUCAAAGUCAGUUUGUCUAACAUAGUGAUUUGCUCUCUCAGCAAGAAGACCCAGGGAUUGUUAAUUCCAUUUUAGCAAGUAUUAGUCAAAAUUCUUUUGAAAACAACAAUGGACCAAAAUCCAAAUCAAACUGCUCUAAGAAAAAAAAUUAAGUAAUUUAUGGGCUUACAUAUGUGAAAUGUCGUGGGAUGGAACUUCAGGAAUGGCUGGAUCUAGGGGCUGAAAUGUUAUAGUCAGCAACUUCAAAGCUUCACGUUCCUUUGUAUUGCUUCAUUCUUUGCAGUUUCUCCCAUUGUGGGGGCAAAGAUGGCCACUGGAAUCCAAAGAUGGCCAACAAAUUAGCAGCCCCAGCUGGAAGGAACUUUCUCUUUCUCAGUUCCAAUAAGAAUUCCAUGUAUUAUACUCAUUGGCUUAGCAAGAGUCAUGUACUUGUCAUGGAAACAAUCACUGUAGUCAAGGAGCUGCAAUACACUGACUGCUCAUGCCUAUGUUACAUGUCACCCUAAAUCCGAGGGUGGAUCAGCUUUAUCCAAGCCAUAUAGACUAAGAGAGGGGGAGGGGUUGUUCCUCAAAGCAAAAUCCAGGUGCUAUUAACAGAGGAAGAGAGAGAGAGACAGGAAGAAAAAGAAGAGGAGGAGGAAGUAGAAGAGAAGAGCAAUAUUGGGCAGGGAAAAGUAACAGGUGUACAGUUCAGUGGUCUGACAGCCUCACCCAGUACCAUAUCCUGAGCUGCAUUCUAGGCAUCUCUCUUUGAUGAUUACCCUGUUAGAGCUUAUAAAGCAGGGAAAAUUCUUUUUUUUAUUGGAGUAUAAUUGCUUUACAAUAUUGUGUUAGUUUCUGCUGCACAGCAAAGUGAAUCAGCCAUACGGAUACACACAUCCCCUCCCUCUUGGACCUCCCUCCCCUCCCCAUCCCACCCAACUAGGCCAUGACAGAGCACCGAGCUGAGCUCUCUGCUAUACAGCAGUUUCCCACUAGCUAUCUAUUUUAAACAUGGUAGUAUAUUUAUGUCAAAUCUAAUCUCCCAGUUCAUCCCACCCUCCCCUUCCCCCCGUGUCCACACGUCUGUUCUCUACGUCUGCCUUUCUAUUCCUGCCCUGCAAAUAGGUUCAUCUGUACCAUUUUUCUAGAUUCCACAUAUAUGAAUUAACAUACAAUAUUUGUUUAGUGAAAAUUCUUUUGCUGCUAUAUCCACCUGUUUAUGUGAGCUUGGGUUCUUUAUGUAUUUUGGCACCAGAUUGAGAAGUUUCCUGGUCACCGAUCCAGGAUGAUAUGCAAGGUGUUGUGGUCACUCCACAGAAGUAUGCUGGACCCUCCUCCACCCCAAAUCGGUUUGCUGUCAAGACUGAUGAUGCCACAUAUGCACCGAGAGGCAUCUGGAGGGGUGUGCAGGUACAGCUCCUUUCCAGAAAGAAAGAGUAAAAUGAUUAUUACCCAACUGUGAAUACACAUGGAGUCACCCUUCACCUUCUACCCAGGCGCCUAGCCCAGGAUCAUAGGAUUUUAGAAUUGGAAGAAGUCUUAGAAAUCAACCACUUCAUUUUACAGAUGAAGAAACCGAGGCCCAGAAGGUGGCAUGCGUUGCCCACAGUCACAGUAAGGGAGUGGAAGAUUCCUGACUGGAACCAGGUUGACUUUUUUGUUUGUUUGUUUCUGUUUAAAACCUGACAUUGUUAUUAAAAACCAUAAAGAACUACUGAAAAGUACAUAGAAGGAAGAAAAUGAUCACCCCAAAUUCAAGCACCUAUAAAUAACCAGUGUUAGGAUGAAUUGUAUUAAUAGGUUUUCUAUUUCAAUAGAAUAAGCUCUAUUAGGAAUAAUGAACAUUUCUUUAGUGCUAUGUGUAGUUUCUCAUUAGAUCCUGCAUCUAAUAAAAUCUAUAAUCUAAUAAUUAUCAUUUUUUUAAAUUAGUACGUUUUAUCUUCAUCUUAGAGGACACAGACAAUUUGCAGGUCACCUAAAUAGUCCGCAUAAUUGUGUUCUUUUCUUUAAUAAGUUGUUGGAUUCAAUUUAGUCACAAUUUAUUAACAUUUUUGCAUUUCUAUUUAUAAAUUAGGUUGGCGCCCACAUUCUCUCUCUCUCUUGCUACCUUUGCCAGGUUUUGGUAUUGGUAUUGUUUGCUUCCAAAACGAGUUGAGAAACCUUUGGUGAUUUGCUUUCACUAUUCCAAAGUUUCAAUAAAUGAGAACAACCAAUUCUAAGCUAAGAAUGCAUUAAACUACUCUAAUGAAUUUCCCGCAGCAUCUGAGUCUCUAAUGUGGGGUCUUAACCGGCUUAGUCAUGCGGGUGGGACCACGUGGGAUGUUUGCUAUUAAGUAGCA